GUGCCAGCAGCCGCGGUAAUACGUAGGGUGCGAGCGUUAAUCGGAAUUACUGGGCGUAAAGCGUGCGCAGGCGGCUUUGCAAGACAGAGGUGAAAUCCCCGGGCUCAACCUGGGAACUGCCUUUGUGACUGCAAGGCUAGAGUACGGCAGAGGGGGAUGGAAUUCCGCGUGUAGCAGUGAAAUGCGUAGAUAUGCGGAGGAACACCGAUGGCGAAGGCAAUCCCCUGGGCCCGUACUGACGCUCAUGCACGAAAGCGUGGGGAGCAAACAGGAUUAG
rnacentral:rRNA from 1 species